rnacentral:rRNA from 1 species
GAUGAACGCUAGCUACAGGCUUAACACAUGCAAGUCGAGGGGUAACGAGAGGAAAGCUUGCUUUCCUUGUCGACGACCGGCGCACGGGUGAGUAACGCGUAUCCAACCUGCCCCCAACUAGGGAAUAACCUUGCGAAAGUAAGACUAAUACCCUAUAAUUUCCUCAGAUGCCAUCUGACGGGGAAUAAAGAUUUAUCGGUUGUGGAUGGGGAUGCGUCUGAUUAGCUUGUUGGCGGGGUAACGGCCCACCAAGGCAACGAUCAGUAGGGGUUCUGAGAGGAAGGUCCCCCACAUUGGAACUGAGACACGGUCCAAACUCCUACGGGAGGCAGCAGUGAGGAAUAUUGGUCAAUGGGCGGAAGCCUGAACCAGCCAAGUAGCGUGCAGGAUGACGGCCCUAUGGGUUGUAAACUGCUUUUAUACAGGAAUAAAGUUAGCCACGUGUGGUUAUUUGUAGGUACUGUAUGAAUAAGGACCGGCUAAUUCCGUG